CACACACACACACACACACACACACACAUUCUGUCUCUCUCUCGCAAAUAAAAAAUAUAAAAAAAUAUAAAAUUCACUAUGCUGGCCCCAGGGUGUGGGUUGCAGUGCCCUUCAAGGAAUAUUGUAGAGCUGAAAACUGAUUAGACAUGGCACCCAAAAACCAGUAUUCCAGAAGAAGUUUGAAGCUAGAGAUGGCAGUUUCACAUACUAGAGGAGGUGCUGAUUGUAAAAACAUAAGUUCAGGCUCCAUCUAAGCUUCACGAUCUUUUAUAAAUUACUAAAUCUCUACACCAAAUUCCUCAUCUGUGAAAUGGAGACUACAAAUAUCCAGUCUAUCCAAAAAUAGAUAUUUAAAGCAGGUAAAAUACAUACAAGUAUCUGGGGCACAGCAGACACUUCCAAAAGUUGGAAGUUACUAUGAAGAUGCAUGCAGGUAUCACAGAUCAGAACACAAUAGUGGGUCAAUGCAGAGAGACAAACAGAAAUCAAAAAAAGGCAGGCAGUGGCAAAAAAAGGCAAAACAGUGGGUUAUGGGUUGAAACAGGAACCUAAAAGAAAUUCUCCAGCAUCAUCACUUUUAAUAAAUACCUACUGAUGUUACUGAUGUUAAGGAGAAGAAAGCAGAUUGCCAGAUGAGUGAUAAAAGAUGACCUCACUUAUUGAAAGAGAAAGAGAAGCAAAAACAUGAAGCCAAGGAAGACAGAUUAUAGAGACGUACUCCAAAUACUAUUAUAAUAGUAGUUAUCACAACUACUAGUAGGGUUACUUCAGGUUUUUUUGUUUGUUCAUUUAUCAAUAUUUUCCAAAUACUUGUUUUUAUUUCAAAGUUAAUAAAAAAUGGCACCUUAAACAUUUCAUAAUAGGCCCUGAGUAGCUGUUCUUUCAGGGAAGCUGAAGCCCUGGAGGAGAUCAUUGGCAUUCUGAAAUCGAGGCUGUGCUCUAAUUAUUUGAAAGUUCUUAACACAUGUAUGGAGAAACUCACCCAGUCUAUAAAUAUAUGUAGAAGGCCUUCUUAAUUCAAAAGUAUGACAUUAGACAUUUCAGGGAAAAAAAAAAACAUAAACUCCCAAAGAGUCUCCAUCUCAUUAGGGAAUUAGACAUGCUCACAUUAAAUUAUAACUCACAAUGCAGGGUGCACUAAUGUAACAAUGAAUUCAAGAAGAGUGAUUUGAGCCAGGCUGAGGACAACUGGAAGACUUCAAAAGGCGGGAAAAAGUCACUUUCUGUUGCAGAGACAAUUUAAUUAAAAAGAAGCUCCUUUCUACCCCCUCCUCCAGGUAAUAGAGAAUUCAUUGUAUUCCGAGGAACUGAAGAUCUUACAAGAAGGCAGAUUGCAUGACCUUCCAAUUGCAAUAGAUUCUUUCAGGAAAGGGAGUAAUUAAGAUUGCCUAAAAGGGGCUGCUUUAUUUCAUUGAGGAGGUAACUUUAAACAGGCUGCCUCACCACAUGCACCACACUCAACAAGCAAACUCCCUACACUGGACUCCUAUAGGGCCUAAUUCUCACCUCAGCCCCAACUUUACCCAGAUUCUCUCACCUGUUAUUAUUAAGCUACUUAGCUGCCUUCCACCCUUCAUCCCUAGACCCCAAAUACCCUAGCAGACUGUGAAUUCCUUUUGUUCUUUCGUGUACUCAUCCACCAUUUUCUUCAACACAUGCUAUGUGCUAGCAACACAAAGACAAAUAAAACAACCCCCAUCCCCAUAAAGUUAAUAGUCUAGCAGCAGUAACUGACUUAUUAGUAGAUAUUUAUAGCUCAAUGGCCGACAUGUGCAUGGAGCAUCCAAGAGAAGGAAGAGGAUGUGCCUAACCAGCGUGAAGCCUGGCAAUAGGGUUUGGAGGACAUUGCAAGAAGAGUGGGUGGCAGGAAUAAAGGCACUAACCAUGGUGAAAAGGGACACAGAGUGAGCAGAAAACCAUGUAGCCUGAUCUUAAAGUGUGAGGCAGAGAGUGGAAAAACACAACCAUACCAGCCAACAUUUACCGAGGGCUAACCCUGUGUGAGCUGAUUAAUUCUCACCAACCCAUGAGGUAGGUUUUAUCAUCCUAAUGUUAGCAAUGAGGAAACGAGGCUACAAAGGUUAAGCCACUGGGGCAGUAAAGGAGAUAAUCACUCUGAUAUGCUGCCCUCCUAAGUCUAGACGGAUCAGCAAGGGCUGGUCUGAAAAUCCCUUUGGUAUCAUGCUAAGGAGCUUGGGCCUUUCCUAUAGACAACAGGCAGGCAGUAAAUGGCUUUAAGCAGGAAAGAGUCAGAUCUGUGUCUCAGGAGGCUACUUCAGCAAGGUGUGGAGGACUGAUAUGAAGAGGGACCCACCCAGACUGAGGGAAAUCAGCUAAAAAGUUGUUGCAGUCUUCCCAUGAGCAAUGUGCAGCCUCAUCUAAUGGUGCAAAGAAGGAGCAGAGGGCAGUCGGGUCCCGGCAGCGGCUGCAGAGCUCUCGUCUUCUGCGGCUCUCCGAGCCCUCUCCUUUUCGCUUCCGGAAACAUGGCCUCCGGUAUGGCUGUGUGAUGGUGUCAUGAACAUGUUCAACGGCAUGAAGGUGCGUAAGUCUUCAAUGCCAGAGGAGGUGAAGAAGCACAAGAAGGCAGUGCUCUUCUUUCUUGGUGAGGACAAGAAGAACGUCAUCAAGAAGAUCCUGGUGGGCAAUGUGGGCCAGACUAUCGACAACCCCUGUGCCACCUUUGUCAGGAUGCUGCCAGAUAAGGACUGCCACUACGCCCUCUAUGACACAGCCUACAGAACCAAGGAGAGCAAGAAGGAGGACCUGGUGUUUAUCUUCUGGGUCCCUGAGUCUGCGCCCCUUAACAGCAAAAUGACCUAUUCCAGCUCCAAGGACGCCAUCAAGAAGAACCUGACAGGGGUCAAGCAUGAAUUACACGCAAACUGCUAUGAGGAGGUCAAGGACCGCUGCACCCUGGCAGAGAAGCUGGGGGGCAGUGCGGUCAUCUCCCUGGAGGACAAGCCUUUGUGAGCCCCUUCUGGUCCCCUGCCUGGAGCAUCUGGCAGCCCCACAUCUACUGUUGGGGGUUGCAGGCUGUUCCCUUCCUCUCAGACCUGAAGGGCUGGGGAGGAUCCCAGCAGAGGGAGUGCAAUCCCUUCACCCCAGUUGCCAAACAGACCCCCCACCCCCUGGAUUUUCCUCCUCCCUCCAUCCCUGAUGGUUCUGGUCUUCCCAAACUGCUUUUGAUCUUCUGAUUCCUCUUGGGUGGAAGCAAAUCAAAUUCUCCGCAGGCACCCCAGUUGUGGGAGUGGCCUGUAUUUUUUUUAACAACACCCCCACUCCCCACCUGUUCCUCCCCCUUCCUAUGCUGCCAACUUCUAACCGCAGUAGUGACUCUGUGUUUGUCUGUUUAGUUCUGUGUAUAAAUGGAAUGUUGUGGAGAUGACCCCUCCCUCUGACAGCUGGUUCCUCUCCCUUUUCCCCUGGUCACUGCUACUCAUGGAAGCAGGACCAGUAAGGGACCUUCGAUUAAAAAAAAAAAAAAGAAGAA